CGCCACUUUGUGGUUCAUGACUGGGGUGAAGUCGUAACAAGGUAGCGCUAGGGGAACCUGGCGCUGGAUCACCUCCUUAAACGAUGAU
rnacentral:rRNA from 1 species